UACGGAGGGUGCAAGCGUUGCUCGGAAUCAUUGGGCGUAAAGCGUACGCAGGCUGUUCGUUAAGUCGGGUGUGAAAGCCCGGGGCUCAACCCCGGAACUGCGCUCGAAACUGCGCGGCUCGAGUGCCGGAGGGGAGAGUGGAAUUCCUGGUGUAGCGGUGAAAUGCGUAGAUAUCAGGAGGAAUACCGGUGGCGAAAGCGACUCUCUGGACGGCAACUGACGCUGAGGCACGAAAGCGUGGGGAGCAAACAGG
rnacentral:rRNA from 1 species